rnacentral:rRNA from 1 species
AUUGAACGCUGGCGGCAGGCUUAACACAUGCAAGUCGAGCGGGGUGAUGGUGCUUGCACUAUCACUUAGCGGCGGACGGGUGAGUAAUGCUUAGGAAUCUGCCUAUUAGUGGGGGACAACAUCUCGAAAGGGAUGCUAAUACCGCAUACGUCCUACGGGAGAAAGCAGGGGAUCACUUGUGACCUUGCGCUAAUAGAUGAGCCUAAGUCGGAUUAGCUAGUUGGUGGGGUAAAGGCCUACUAAGGCGACGAUCGGUAGCGGGUCUGAGAGGAUGAGUCGCACCACUGGGACUGGGACACGGCCCAGACUCCUACGGGUGGCAGCAGUGGGGAAUAUUGGACAAUGGGGGGAACCUUGAUCCAGCCAUGCCGCGUGUGUGAAGAAGGCCUUAUGGUUGUAAAGCACUUUAAGCGAGGAGGAGGCUCUUUUGGUUAAUACCCAAGAUGAGUGGACGUUACUCGCAGAAUAAGCACCGGCUAACUCUGUGCCAGCCGCCGCCGUAA